GAUGAAGAACGUAGCGAAAUGCGAUAAGUAAUGCGAAUUGCAGAAUUCAGUGAAUCAUCGAAUCUUUGAACGCACAUUGCGCCCUCUGGUAUUCCGGGGGGCAUGCCUGUUCGAGCGUCAUUAUAACCACUCAAGCUCUCGCUUGGUAUUGGGGCUCGCGGUUCCGCGGCCCCUAAAAUCAGUGGCGGUGCCUGUCGGCUCUACGCGUAGUAAUACUCCUCGCGAUUGAGUCCGGUAGGUCUACUUGCCAGCAACCCCCAAUUUUUACAGGUUGACCUCGGAUCAGGUAGGGAUACCCGCUGAACUUAAGCAUAUCAAUAAGCGGAGGA
rnacentral:misc_RNA from 1 species